UUUCGUUGUGUGCGGCCCUACCUAUACGUAUACGUGUAUCUACAAAUCGCAUAACAAAUAUUGUACGUACAAUGGAAUUGUGUAAUGGUUGCUCCGCGGCGCCGCACGACGGAAAAUCGUGACGCCUCUCGAACGAUAAAGUGCCUCGUCGCAGUGCAAAUAAUCAUCCGCCGCCGACCAACUGGCGGCACACAGAAGGCAAAAUACAACAUGGCGGAGAGAGAGACGGCAGAGAAGCCUCGUGACGUGUUACCGUUGCUACAUAAUUAGCGCGCGAAAAUAGAUUUUUGCGAAACGAGCCGAGCUCCGCUCUGGUAUGUCAAUGAAAACAAAUCCUUGUUCCCCUUUUUUCCCCUCUCCUGCUCCCUUUCUCUUUGUCGAGGCCUGGUAGCUCAGGCGAAGGCCGCCGAAUACUGAAAUAUACACGCCGUUCGGAAUAGUCGAAUCAUUGUUUGCUCGAUCGAGUCCUCGGUAUCGUUUUGCUUCUCGCCAAACCGACCUAGCUUCCGAAAUAACAGGCACGGCUUCCCCGCAUCUAUCUAUAUCCUGGUCCUCGAAACCUACGCUCCAUCGAAAGAAAUUCAUUGCAGAAAUUGAACAGAAACUUGACAAGCGGUUGUCAUUGUUUUAGAUAGCACCACUAGCGUAGAAUUGAAGAAAAAUCGUAAGACAGUGAUUAGUGGAAUUUAACUCUCGAGGAUUGCACUGCGAAUCGCGGCAAUCAAAGCACAACAAGGUUGUAUAAUAUUUUAACAGUUAAUAUAAAUGCUUAUAUGUACUUAUCAUCGCUCCCCUACGUGCAGGCGGUGCGUAUAAAGCAAUAAAGAGACACAAUUGUGCAAACAUAUAAAUGUAAUUGGAACAGUUGCGACACGUGCGGCCUUGUCUAUAUAAUGCAGAAAAUUUGCAUCGAUAUCCGGCAAAGAAAAUUUAUCCUUUGAUCGUUCUAAUUUCCCGUUGAACGCCGUCAUUUCCAUGGGAAUAUUAAAAAAGCAUUUCUGUGCUCUUUGAAGCAAAUAUGAAACCGAGGUACGACAUUACCUUUGUAUCGUUAUUACAACAACACUCUUCAGCAAAGCACGGAAAACAAAUUUUUCUUUUCGA